rnacentral:rRNA from 1 species
GGUUAAGCGACUAAGCGUACACGGUGGAUGCCCUGGCAGUCAGAGGCGAUGAAGGACGUGCUAAUCUGCGAUAAGCGUCGGUAAGGUGAUAUGAACCGUUAUAACCGGCGAUUUCCGAAUGGGGAAACCCAGUGUGUUUCGACACACUAUCAUUAACUGAAUCCAUAGGUUAAUGAGGCGAACCGGGGGAACUGAAACAUCUAAGUACCCCGAGGAAAAGAAAUCAACCGAGAUUCCCCCAGUAGCGGCGAGCGAACGGGGAGCAGCCCAGAGCCUGAAUCAGUGUGUGUGUUAGUGGAAGCGUCUGGAAAGGCGCGCGAUACAGGGUGACAGCCCCGUACACAAAAAUGCACAUGCUGUGAGCUCGAUGAGUAGGGCGGGACACGUGGUAUCCUGUCUGAAUAUGGGGGGACCAUCCUCCAAGGCUAAAUACUCCUGACUGACCGAUAGUGAACCAGUACCGUGAGGGAAAGGCGAAAAGAACCCCGGCGAGGGGAGUGAAAAAGAACCUGAAACCGUGUACGUACAAGCAGUGGGAGCACAGAGCAAUCUGUGUGACUGCGUACCUUUUGUAUAAUGGGUCAGCGACUUAUAUUCUGUAGCAAGGUUAACCGAAUAGGGGAGCCGAAGGGAAACCGAGUCUUAACUGGGCGUUAAGUUGCAGGGUAUAGACCCGAAACCCGGUGAUCUAGCCAUGGGCAGGUUGAAGGUUGGGUAACACUAACUGGAGGACCGAACCGACUAAUGUUGAAAAAUUAGCGGAUGACUUGUGGCUGGGGGUGAAAGGCCAAUCAAACCGGGAGAUAGCUGGUUCUCCCCGAAAGCUAUUUAGGUAGCGCCUCGUGAAUUCAUCUCCGGGGGUAGAGCACUGUUUCGGCAAGGGGGUCAUCCCGACUUACCAACCCGAUGCAAACUGCGAAUACCGGAGAAUGUUAUCACGGGAGACACACGGCGGGUGCUAACGUCCGUCGUGAAGAGGGAAACAACCCAGACCGCCAGCUAAGGUCCCAAAGUCAUGGUUAAGUGGGAAACGAUGUGGGAAGGCCCAGACAGCCAGGAUGUUGGCUUAGAAGCAGCCAUCAUUUAAAGAAAGCGUAAUAGCUCACUGGUCGAGUCGGCCUGCGCGGAAGAUGUAACGGGGCUAAACCAUGCACCGAAGCUGCGGCAGCGACGCUUAUGCGUUGUUGGGUAGGGGAGCGUUCUGUAAGCCUGCGAAGGUGUGCUGUGAGGCAUGCUGGAGGUAUCAGAAGUGCGAAUGCUGACAUAAGUAACGAUAAAGCGGGUGAAAAGCCCGCUCGCCGGAAGACCAAGGGUUCCUGUCCAACGUUAAUCGGGGCAGGGUGAGUCGACCCCUAAGGCGAGGCCGAAAGGCGUAGUCGAUGGGAAACAGGUUAAUAUUCCUGUACUUGGUGUUACUGCGAAGGGGGGACGGAGAAGGCUAUGUUGGCCGGGCGACGGUUGUCCCGGUUUAAGCGUGUAGGCUGGUUUUCCAGGCAAAUCCGGAAAAUCAAGGCUGAGGCGUGAUGACGAGGCACUACGGUGCUGAAGCAACAAAUGCCCUGCUUCCAGGAAAAGCCUCUAAGCAUCAGGUAACAUCAAAUCGUACCCCAAACCGACACAGGUGGUCAGGUAGAGAAUACCAAGGCGCUUGAGAGAACUCGGGUGAAGGAACUAGGCAAAAUGGUGCCGUAACUUCGGGAGAAGGCACGCUGAUAUGUAGGUGAAGCGACUUGCUCGUGGAGCUGAAAUCAGUCGAAGAUACCAGCUGGCUGCAACUGUUUAUUAAAAACACAGCACUGUGCAAACACGAAAGUGGACGUAUACGGUGUGACGCCUGCCCGGUGCCGGAAGGUUAAUUGAUGGGGUCAGCGCAAGCGAAGCUCUUGAUCGAAGCCCCGGUAAACGGCGGCCGUAACUAUAACGGUCCUAAGGUAGCGAAAUUCCUUGUCGGGUAAGUUCCGACCUGCACGAAUGGCGUAAUGAUGGCCAGGCUGUCUCCACCCGAGACUCAGUGAAAUUGAACUCGCUGUGAAGAUGCAGUGUACCCGCGGCAAGACGGAAAGACCCCGUGAACCUUUACUAUAGCUUGACACUGAACAUUGAGCCUUGAUGUGUAGGAUAGGUGGGAGGCUUUGAAGUGUGGACGCCAGUCUGCAUGGAGCCGACCUUGAAAUACCACCCUUUAAUGUUUGAUGUUCUAACGUGGACCCGUAAUCCGGGUUGCGGACAGUGUCUGGUGGGUAGUUUGACUGGGGCGGUCUCCUCCUAAAGAGUAACGGAGGAGCACGAAGGUUGGCUAAUCCUGGUCGGACAUCAGGAGGUUAGUGCAAUGGCAUAAGCCAGCUUGACUGCGAGCGUGACGGCGCGAGCAGGUGCGAAAGCAGGUCAUAGUGAUCCGGUGGUUCUGAAUGGAAGGGCCAUCGCUCAACGGAUAAAAGGUACUCCGGGGAUAACAGGCUGAUACCGCCCAAGAGUUCAUAUCGACGGCGGUGUUUGGCACCUCGAUGUCGGCUCAUCACAUCCUGGGGCUGAAGUAGGUCCCAAGGGUAUGGCUGUUCGCCAUUUAAAGUGGUACGCGAGCUGGGUUUAGAACGUCGUGAGACAGUUCGGUCCCUAUCUGCCGUGGGCGCUGGAGAACUGAGGGGGGCUGCUCCUAGUACGAGAGGACCGGAGUGGACGCAUCACUGGUGUUCGGGUUGUCAUGCCAAUGGCACUGCCCGGUAGCUAAAUGCGGAAGAGAUAAGUGCUGAAAGCAUCUAAGCACGAAACUUGCCCCGAGAUGAGUUCUCCCUGACUCCUUGAGAGUCCUGAAGGAACGUUGAAGACGACGACGUUGAUAGGCCGGGUGUGUAAGCGCAGCGAUGCGUUGAGCUAACCGGUACUAAUGAACCGUGAGGCUUAACCUU